ACAAAAUGUUCCAUAUCUUGAAGAGACUUGGGAGCAAGACUGCAGCACAGCAUAAAAGAAGAAAAUCAGAACGCAUUUUGAACCAUGGAAAGCCUCAGUAUAAUGUGACAGCUAAAACCUUGGUAAGUUACAUGUUUCUGCUCCUUUGCAUGUUGCACCAGUCACUUGUGAACCCUGAAAGCAGAAUUAUCAAAUGAAACUAUGAAAUAAAAUCUACUCUUAGUACCUUUGCACUAUCAAGAUAUAAUCAUUUUUGUAACACAAACUAAUAAAGAAAAUAAAUAAUGAAGUGAAAGAAUAUGCUUUGCAAGAGUAAAUGAAUUGGCACUUCACACCUCUAAAUCAUUGAAUAAAUAAAACCCAGAAAAAGAAGGAAAUAGUAUCUGAUAUGCUGUAUUUGUAUCAGAGCAACUAUGUUUUUGACACAUUCACGUCUAAUCGAGAAACAUGGCCAGAAGGUUCAAGAAGCAAAGUCCAAAGGACAGCUCUUCAGACAAAUUAGCCAGAAAACUCAUGAGAAGAAGAAAAUCUAAAAUCUCGAGCAAGCAGAUGAUGUGUGCAUGUCCGAAAUUCCCUCAACAGUAAUCCUAAUUCUCUUCCCACCUGCAAUCUUAGAGUGUUAUUUGUCCUGUUAAUUCUUUUGGUGCAGACCGCAAAUCUUUAAGGAAUUAUUUUCCCCUAGCCAGUGUCUCUACGUGAUUUUUCCUUCCAUUAUCCCCUCUCCUAUACAUAAGUAAAAUAGCCCUUCAACAAUUCCUUAACUCUGCUCCCAUUUUCCUCCCUCUCCCAAACAUAAGCAUAAAUUGUAUUAACUUCUCCAAUCCUUGUGACAGUACAAUCUUCUUUAAGCAGCAAAAUAUUUAUUCAAUUUUUUGACUUCAAACUCAAAAGAAGCAAAUAUUAGUUAAUUAUUUUACACAAGCGAGCUAUCCCAACUCUUAUUGGAUACUCUUAGAGUCAAACAGGAUGGAGGAAGCAAUGAUAAAUGAAAUUGAUUACCGCAUAAAGUCAUAAAGAAAUAUGACAUCUAUGCCAAGAUGUUAAAGUGUCAGUCACCCAAAAACAUCUAUCAAGAAGCUCUUGUUUAUGAAAUAGAGCAAUUUCUACUAUAUAUGAG
rnacentral:lncRNA from 1 species